rnacentral:rRNA from 1 species
UACGGGGGGGGCAAGCGUUGUUCGGAAUUACUGGGCGUAAAGGGCGCGUAGGCGGUUCGCUAAGUCGGAUGUGAAAACUCUGGGCUCAACCCAGAGCCUGCAUCCGAAACUGGCGGGCUAGAGUUCUGGAGGGGGUAGCGGAAUUCCUGGUGUAGCGGUGAAAUGCGUAGAUAUCAGGAGGAACACCGGUGGCGAAGGCGGCUACCUGGACAGAAACUGACGCUGAGGCGCGAAAGCUAGGGGAGCAAACAGGAUUAGAUACCCUGGUAGUCCUAGCCCUAAACGAUGGAUACUUGGUGUGACUGGGAUUGAAUCCAGUCGUGCCGAAGCUAACGCAUUAAGUAUCCCGCCUGGGGAGUACGGUCGCAAGGCUGAA